GUGAGUCGUCGUCAGCUGGAGGCCAUCGUGUCGGAGCUGCAGAAGAAGGUGAAGGUCCUGCAGCAGAGACACCGCCGGCACCUGGAGAAGCUCCUGGGCCUGGAGAACACGGUGAACCAGCUGAGACAGAGCAACCUGCUGAACCAGGAGAGACUGCAGCUGCUGCAGGGGGCCGACGCCCAGACCAGCCCAGCGGUGCCCGACGUCGCCCAGACCGUGGACGUCUACUCCGAAGAAGAGGACGACGACACGUAUCUGUGCACUUCAGAGGAGAGAUGAGACCUAAACAUCUGUGUGUGUGUGAGAGUGUGUGUGUGUGUGUGUGUGUGUGUGUGAUUCCUGCUUCUGUGGUUCUGUCAGAAGUGAAUUAAACUCUGACCCUGGUGUCGUCUGAUCUACUGUGAGUUUUGCACUAAUAUGGACGAUCAUUUGGGCCGAUGUUGAAUGUAUUUUUCCAGUUUGUAAAACUUCCUCUGUGACUGAAUGUUCUCCAGAUCUUCUCUGAAUGUGUGUUUGGUGUCGUUUUUCUGUCUGCGACACGAGAACCAAACAUGAACCGACCAGUGACAUGAUUGAACCACUGAGCCUGUUUACAUGAUUAGAAAAACCUGAUAACUGUAUUCAUCAGAUCUGACGCCUUUACAUGUAUUUAAAUGGGUCAUCUUUAUCUAAACCCACUUUUAUUAGUCUGUGGUUCAUUUAUUUGUGUAUUUGGACCCUAAUAGUUCAUACAGUUUGAAUUUGAACCCUCCAGGUGCUGCAAAGCUAUCUUUAUAUUCAUUUCGCUAACAAUUGAGUGGAUUUCUAUAACCUGCUUUAAUUCCUGCUUAAUUUGUUACAUUUUAUAACGAGUUACAUCCCGACAUUUGCACAUAUAAGGUCCAGACUUCCGACGGACAUUUCUCAGAGUACGCCAUAAUUGUUUAUCACACGGGAAAAAAUCUAAAUCUUACCAAGAUAAUUUUCACUUGUUUCAUUGGUAGAUUUUUUUUUUUUUUGCUUGAAUUAAGCAAAAUUGAAUUGAAUUAAGCAAAAAAAUCUGCCAAUGGAACAAGUGAAAAUUAUCUCGGUAAGAUUUCUUAAAAUAACAUUUUCAAGAUCUAUUGUCUAAAAAUAAGUUCUUAUAUCUCACUGAAAAGUUACUCUUUAGGUGAUUAUGUCUUAUUUUAAGUGUGAUGAGAUAUUUGGACUAAAAAUGAGAAAAAUACACUUGGAACCCUUGAGCCUGUUUACAUGAUUAGAAAACCCCGAUAACUGUGUUAAUCAGAUAAUUGUAAUAAUCAGAUCUGACGCGUUGACAUUUUUUGUAUUUAUUUCGUUCCAGGACAGUGUGUAUUCUUGGCAUUAGUUGCAAAGAACAAGAUGCAUGCACCAGAUUUUAGCAGAGAAGCUAAUUUCCAUCUUUGGUCCUGGACAAACCACCAACAUAAUAAAACAUCACAGAUUUGGAAGUACUGAUAAAUUAGAAGAAAACUGUUAGAUAAUUACAGAUGUGGGGAAGUAUGCGGAGGCUGAAUAGUUACAGCCAAAUACAUAAAAGGGGCUGACAUUCUAAAAGUACAAUAACAUUUC
ensembl:lncRNA